AGCAGCAGCCGCGGGAAUACGAAGGGUGCAAGCGUUAAUCGGAAAUACUGGGCGUAAAGCGUGCGUAGGCGGUUUGUUAAGUCUGCUGUGAAAUCCCCGGGCUCAACCUGGGAAUGGCAGUGGAUACUGGCAAGCUAGAGUGUGUCAGAGGAUGGUGGAAUUCCCGGUGUAGCGGUGAAAUGCGUAGAGAUCGGGAGGAACAUCAGUGGCGAAGGCGGCCAUCUGGGACAACACUGACGCUGAGGCACGAAAGCGUGGGGAGCAAACAGGAUUAGAUACCCGCGUAGUCCCUGUCUCUUAUAC
rnacentral:rRNA from 1 species